GACGAACGCUGGCGGCGUGCUUAACACAUGCAAGUCGAACGGAAAGGCCCUGCUUUUGUGGGGUGCUCGAGUGGCGAACGGGUGAGAAACACGCGUGUAAACUGCCCUUGUCUUUCGGAUAUCUUUAGGAAACUGGGGCUAAUACCGCAUAGGAGCUCCUGCUGCAUGGUGGGGGUUGGAAAGAUUCGGCGGUUGGGGAUGGACUCGCGGCUUAUCAGCUUGUUGGUGGGGUAGUGGCUUACCAAGGCUUUGACGGGUAGCCGGCCUGAGAGGGUGACCGGCCACAUUGGGACUGAGAGACGGCCCAGACUCCUACGGGAGGCAGCAGUGGGGAAUAUUGCGCAAUGGGCGGAAGCCUGAUGCAGCGACGCCGCGUGCGGGAUGACGGCCUUCGGGUUGUAAACCGCUGUCUCAGGUGACGAAGCGUGAGUGACGGUAAUGGGUAAGGAAGCACCGGCUAACUACGUG
rnacentral:rRNA from 1 species